GAUGAACGCUAGCGGGAGGCCUAACACAUGCAAGCCGAGCGGUAUUGUUUCUUCGGAAGUGAGAGAGCGGCGUACGGGUGCGUAACACGUGUGCAACCUGCCUUUAUCUGGGGGAUAGCCUUUCGAAAGGAAGAUUAAUACUCCAUAAUAUAUUGAACGGCAUCGUUUAAUAUUGAAAGCUCCGGCGGAUAGAGAUGGGCACGCGCAAGAUUAGCUAGUUGGUGAGGUAACGGCUCACCAAGGCGAUGAUCUUUAGGGGGCCUGAGAGGGUGAUCCCCCACACUGGUACUGAGACACGGACCAGACUCCUACGGGAGGCAGCAGUGAGGAAUAUUGGUCAAUGGGUGCAAGCCUGAACCAGCCAUCCCGCGUGAAGGACGACUGCCCUAUGGGUUGUAAACUUCUUUUGUAUAGGGAUAAACCUACCCUCGUGAGGGUAGCUGAAGGUACUAUACGAAUAAGCACCGGCUAACUCCGUGCCAGCCGCCGCAGUAAGAC
rnacentral:rRNA from 1 species